rnacentral:rRNA from 1 species
AACGAACGCUGGCGGCAGGCUUAACACAUGCAAGUCGAGCGCCCCGCAAGGGGAGCGGCAGACGGGGUGAGUAACGCGUGGGAACAUACCCUUUGGUUCGGAAUAACUCAGGGAAACUUGAGCUAAUACCGGAUACGUCCGUAAGGAGAAAGAUUUAUCGCCAAAGGAUUGGCCCGCGUCCGAUUAGCUAGUUGGUGAGGUAACGGCUCACCAAGGCUACGAUCGGUAGCUGGUCUGAGAGGAUGAUCAGCCACAUUGGGACUGAGACACGGCCCAAACUCCUACGGGAGGCAGCAGUGGGGAAUAUUGGACAAUGGGCGCAAGCCUGAUCCAGCCAUGCCGCGUGAGUGAUGAAGGCCUUAGGGUUGUAAAGCUCUUUUACUCGGGACGAUAAUGACGGUACCGAGAGAAUAAGCCCCGGCUAAACCUCCGUGCCAGCAGCCGCGGUAAUGUGACUACUG